GUCGUGAGAUGUUGGGUUAAGUCCCGCAACGAGCGCAACCCCCGUCGUAUGUUGCCAGCAUUUAGUUGGGGACUCAUACGAGACUGCCGGUGACAAACCGGAGGAAGGUGGGGAUGACGUCAAGUCAUCAUGCCCCUUAUGUCCAGGGCUACACACGUGCUACAUUGGCCGGUACAAAGGGCUGCGAUACCGCGAGGUGGAGCGAAUCCCAUAAAGCCGGUCUCGGUUCGGAUUGGAGGCUGAAACUCGCCUCCAUGAAGGUGGAGUUGCUAGUAAUCCCAGAUCAGCAACGCUGGGGUGAAUACGUUCCCGGGCCUUGUACACACCGCCCGUCACACCACGAAAGCGGGUAACACCCGAAGCCGGUGACCCAACCCUUACGGGAGGGAGCCGUCGAAGGUGGGACUCGUGAUUGGGGUGAAGUCGUAACAAGGUAGCCGUACCGGAAGGUGCGGCUGGAUCACCUCCUUUCUAGGGAGCUCUUCAAUGAGCGCGCCUGUCUGCCGCUUCGCAUUCCGUGAAGCGCGACGGCCAGGCGUCCUAGCAUGUCGACCGAGCUUGGAUGCUGGCGUGAUUUCGAUUGCGCCGGCCAUGCUGCUGAGUUUUGAGAGACCGACCGCGCGUCGGCCUGUCCUGCGGGAAGCCCUCUUGUGGGCCCCACGCGGGUAGGCGGCUCGGCCGCGGAGCUCUCCGCCGGACCUUGAAAACUGCACAGUUGGCCGAACACGGGGAUUCGAUGAGCCCCCGUGUUCAAUUGGGUAUCACCCAGCUAUAUCGCGGACCCUGCAUUUGUCUUUCCGUUGGGGUCCGUAGAAGCUGUUGAUCACCGUCAAGAUAGUAAGGGCACACGGUGGAUGCCUUGGCAUCAGGAGCCGAAGAAGGGCGUGGACGACUGCGAUAAGCAACGGUGAGGUGUUGAACAGCCUUUGAUCCGUUGAUUC
rnacentral:sRNA from 1 species